GACGAACGCUGGCGGCGUGCUUAACACAUGCAAGUCGAACGAAGUGGCGAACGGGUGAGUAAUACGUGAGUAAUCUGCCCUCCUUUUUGGGAUAAGCCUUGGAAACGGGGUCUAAUACCGACUAAAGGGGGAUGGGCCCGCGGACUAUCAGCUUGGUGGUGGGGUGAUGGUCUACCAAGGCGGUGACGGGUAGCCGGCCUGGGAGGGUGACGGGCGACAAUGGGACUGGGGUACGGCCCAGACUGCUACGGGAGGCAGGAGUGGGGGAUAUUGCACAAUGGGCGAAGGCCUGAUGCAGGGGGGCCGCGUGAGGGAUGAAGGCUUUCGGGUUGUAAGCCUCUUUCGCGAUCGAAAGGGUAGGUGGAGAAGAAGCGCCGGCUAACUACAUGCCAGCAGCCGCGGUAAUAC
rnacentral:rRNA from 1 species